rnacentral:lncRNA from 1 species
AUGAGGCAUCUGGGAAAUCUAGCUGUGGUCCAACCCUGGAAAAAAUGCACUGUCACUGUGACCUCUCUUCUGACCUCAGGCUCUUUAGGUACCCUGCCUCCGAGCGGCCGUACCCUGAGGCUGAGCACAUGCUCAGAGAAAGGCCCUCUGCUGCCCUCUGGUGCUCCAGGCUACUACAAGCUCCACACGCAACAGCCCCUGCACUCAUCCGGCAGGGGGAACAAACAGCUCGUGUCAUCUCUGACGUUUGUCCCUGAUCUCUCCAUCCACAAGGGUGCCGUCUUCAAGUGCCAGGUCUUCUACAAAGGAAAAGAUAAAGUGGUGGCGGAGAGGGUGUCUGAAAAAUUUUCACUGCUCUCUGCCCCUGAGGUGUCUGAGAUCAAGCUCUCUGAGCCAGAUGCGGAAGCAGACAUCAUCACUCUGACUGCCCAGGCAUCCAAGUUCCAUCCCGACAUCAUCACGUUCCGCUGGUUCUGUGAGGGUGGGGAAUUAAGCCCGGUGACGGUACCCCCCAAGCUGGCGGCCCCUCGGCCCGACACACAGGGAUUUUUCUCUGCUGUGAGCCAAUGCAAGCUGCUCCGAACAGAGCUGGAGCGAGGAGGGACCAGGGUCUGGGUCAGCAUCCACCACAUCGCCCUCAAGCAGCCCGUCACACGGGAAACCAGGGGGUUCAUUAAGAAGCCUUUGGUGUCUGAAAUUACAAGCUUCCCGUCAGCCACUUCCUCUCACAACCUAUCUCUUACCCUGGGUUGUGACAUCACUGACUUCUACCCCCCCCGACAUCUCUAUAACCUGGUUCCACGUUUGGAAAUCAGAAGAUGGAGAGAGGGAAGAACCAUGGGAUGAAGAACAGGAGCAGAAUAGAGAAGAGGUUAAACAAGGGUCUGAAAUCUGGGGACCUCUGCUGACCCAUCCAAGAACCUUCCGGGUCACCGCAAUGCUGCGGGAUGUGAAGGUUGGGGAUGUGGGAUCCCAAAAAGGACAUCAUAUUGUGUGCAGAGUAGAACACAGCUCCAUGCAAAUGCCCAUUGAAAGAGUCUGGAGGCAGGUGCAUAUAGCCCCUCCCAUCAUCCCCUCGUCACUUUCAGUUAACUGGACCAGUGAAGGUGUGGGACUCUUCUCCCUGCUUCUAACUGGCGGGAGCCCUUGGCCAAAGCUACUUUGGGCCGGUGGAGGCACCACUCUCACCCAGCUCCUCUCAACAGAGACCAAGACAGUGAACAAGGACGGGAGAUGUGAGUUCAGGAGCACUUGUGCUCUGGUGCGGUCCGCCGAACCGCAGAUUAAGGAUGAAAAGAAGCUGGGGAACGGACGUGCACAAAACUUGAGGACACCAGAUUUGGAAAAUGAAUCGAUCACGUUCAUAGAUGAGGAUGAAGACGAUGGAGUGAGAAGGGGUGUCAAGAAGAGCCCAAAACAGAGAGAAGUGAAGAAGUAUGAGGAAGAGAAUUUAGAAAAUGGGGCUAAAGAGUUGGGGAUCGACCCGUCUCACAUCAACACAGUAUAUGUAAGCAAAGAAGGAGGACUGGAACAACGUCUGAGGGUUACUGUGGAGAUCACUCAUCCUGCAUUUGCUCUGCCAGUCUAUCUGACAUGGACAGAUCUAAAGGAGGACACAUGACACUGGCUCCCACUGGAACAGAAGUGCCCGUUUUCUGUAUAUAGUUUGGUGUAUAGAUCAAUGUCCAGUACUCUUCUGACUGCUGUAGAACCCCCUGGAUCUGAUCAAGCCUUAACUACUACUGAUGUUUCCUGCCCUGUUCCUAUGCAAGUACCGAAUUCUGAUGCAGAUAGCAGGUUAUGUGGAUUAUUUAUACUAAAAUGCUUUGAAAUAAUGGAUCUUGUAUGUGACCUGAAAUAAAUAUACC